CCUACGGGUGGCAGCAGUGGGGAAUAUUGCACAAUGGGCGCAAGCCUGAUGCAGCCAUGCCGCGUGUGUGAAGAAGGCCUUCGGGUUGUAAAGCACUUUCAGCGGGGAGGAAGGCGUUAAGGUUAAUAACCUUGUCGAUUGACGUUACCCGCAGAAGAAGCACCGGCUAACUCCGUGCCAGCAGCCGCGGUAAUACGGAGGGUGCAAGCGUCAAUCGGAAUUACUGGGCGUAAAGCGCACGCAGGCGGUCUGUCAAGUCGGAUGUGAAAUCCCCGGGCUCAACCUGGGAACUGCAUUCGAAACUAGCAGGCUAGAGUCUUGUAGAGGGGGGUAGAAUUCCAGGUGUAGCGGUGAAAUGCGUAGAGAUCUGGAGGAAUACCGGUGGCGAAGGCGGCCCCCUGGACAAAGACUGACGCUCAGGUGCGAAAGCGUGGGGAGCAAACAGGAUUAGAUACCCUGGUAGUC
rnacentral:rRNA from 1 species